rnacentral:lncRNA from 1 species
CAAUGAGCUCAUAAACAAUGUCAUGUGGUCACUUUCCUGAUCUCCUUCCUUUCUAUGAUCUUUGUGGUCCUUUCCAGUUCACUGGCCCUAUUUUUGUCUUUUUAGGCAGAAAGCUGGAAUUUUGUGAUCAUAGUUUGCCACAGAAGUCUCAUAAUUGCACCCGCAUCUGGGGCUAAGCAGUAGGAGGAAAUAGAAGAAAAAAAUCAACUCCUGUUUGAGUUGAUCCAUCCUCAUGGGACCACAGCUUCUCUGAGGAGAGAAGAAAGUUUCCAUUCCACAAAGUUUUAGGUACCUGUGGACCCUGCUGCUGCUGCUGUUGCUGCCAUUAACGCCACUACUGCCACGAAUGGAGGAUUUCCUGGCGGCCAGGACAUGAUAGCGUGGAGAUUGUAAAAGAAAAAAAAAAAUAGGCGGGUGGAGAAAAAUGGCGGACUACAAGCCUACAUCCUUCCUACUACCCACAGGAACCCAAAUUUUAAAAACUAUCUGCACACAGAAAAGCACCAUCAUAAGAACCAAAAAUCAGGGUAACUGUGGAAGCUGACAGACAUAAGCCGAAGAAGAAAAUGAUUGGCAUCACUGUAGGUCCUCAGCAAAUGUUAGUUCUUUAAUAUUCUUAGAUUGUGUUGUGGGUGGCAGGCAAUCACUGCUCAACUUGGCUCUUCUGUCUAGGGUGGGUGGAAGCAGGAUAAAAUCAUGGGAGGUCACAUUGAGUUGAAAGUCUUGACCUUUCUUGGAUGGGUAAAGGAGCCAUCAUGUUUUUCAUGCUGAAAAUAAAUUAGUCCCUCAAGUCAAACGUUACCAGAGCUAAUAAUGAGCUACCUUUUUAUAGCAACUGCCAUGAUAUUCAGAACAAUUUUUAAUUGUGAGUCUCUUUCUUUAAAAUAAAAAGUUCACAUGAGCAAAUGCUAAUAUUUUAAGAAAAUUCUUGGAGGGACUUUAAUUGACACAUGUAAAUGCUGUAGUUCAAUUUGCAUUUAAAUAGACAUUCUAAACAUUUUCUUUUAAAUGGGCUUUAUUUCUCUCUUGUAAAACUAAAAAUUGAUUUUUUCUUUUUAGCAAAAUGGGUGCCUGGUAAGGUUCAUGGUUAAGAGAUGUGGUGCAGCUGUUCUUUUAUCUCCUACUCAGAGUGGAAAUAGCCUUACCAGAGCAAGGCACAGUGAACAAUAGAAGUAAUAUUUUUAAAAAAUGUGCCUCUGCAAAGGAUUGAUCAGUGGCUUAACAAAGAUUGACAUCAGCGUGACAUUCUCUGCAACAAUGCACAAGGCUGCACAGAAAAAUCUUCCCUAUUUACAAGCACAGUCAACCUUUCAUCUCUGAUUUCCCCUGAAGACCGCAGUGACCCUCUUAAAAUAUACUGCAGGGGUAAGCUUUUUUUUCUCCCUUUCCUUCUUCUAUAUUGGAAUAGGAGACUUCUCUGAAAAAGCCUCUAAUAGUGGAGUUUUGGGAGAUGGAAUUCUCAUCUGGAAUUUUUUACCAAAGGAAUUUUAUUUUAUUUUAUUUUAUUAUUAUUAUUUUUUUUGGUGAGACAGAGUCUCACUCUGUUGCCCAAGCUGGAGUGCAGUGGCAUGAUCUUGGCUCACUGCAACCUCCACCUCCCUGGUUCAAACGAUU